rnacentral:rRNA from 1 species
UUACGGUCAAAUCACGCUGAAAACACCGGUUCUCGUUCGAUCACCGAAGUUAAGCAUCGUAGAGCCAGGUUAGUACUUAGAUGGGGGACCGCUUGGGAACACCUGGUACUGUAAG